CAGACCAUGAAAACAUACCUUAUCUAAAAAAUAGUGAUAACAAGUAUAUGAUAAUGAUGAUAAUAAUAAUAAAAUAGUGAUAAAUAAAUAAAUAUAGUAAUAGUAAUAAAGAGAAGUAGGAACAGUAGUUUAGAAAGGGAAACAGUGCUCCCUGACCACCAGAUUCCAAAGGGAAGACAGACAUCUGAGAGGAGGAGGGGGAGUUGACAUUGCUGGGUUCAGCUCUCUCCAUGCCUGGUCUCCAUUAUUAACUCCCCUUUAGAUGAGCUUUUUCAUUCUUACUCUCUUUUUAUUAUUUUUACAUCUGCAAUACAUUUAUGGAGCUGUUGGUAAGCAAAGGUUUGCUGAGUUCCUGCCAAUUAGUAAAAAACCCAAACAAACUCCUUCUGUUUCCCUCGUUCUUGUUUCAGACAAAGAAGCCUUCUGAUGUGCCAUUGACUGGAAAAAUUUUGAAGGAAAAGAGCAGCUCACUGCCAUCUCUCCUGUCACGUGUCCAGACGCCUAAAAGAGCAGAGACUUCCCAACUUCCAUUGGCAACAAAGGAAUCCCACCCUGACGGACCUGCAGCACAGAAGCAGAAGGAGGCUAGCACAGCUUCAGAAACAUUGCCAAGUUCUCAGCCAAAAACAUCGUAAGUAACCAGACUCUUCUCAUCUCUGCUGGGAAGUUACUUAAAAGAACCUGGAAUGCACAAAAAAUUGGGUUAAUAGUAAUUUCUUCUAAGAAAUCAUCAUUGCAGGGAAUUUUCACCAACAGAAAAAUUGUUGUUUUAUGAUGGACUCACUAAAUUGUUUAGGUUUGAAAAGGACUUGAAGAUCAUCAAGUCCUGUUGUUAAUCCAGCAAUGCCAAGUGCACUAAACCAUGUCAUGACUACAAUGACUGUGAUUAAAACCAAAACAAAAUAAAAGUAAAGAAAAAAUCUUGUCUUCA
rnacentral:lncRNA from 1 species